UGGGGAAUAUUGCACAAUGGGCGCAAGCCUGAUGCAGCCAUGCCGCGUGUAUGAAGAAGGCCUUCGGGUUGUAAAGUACUUUCAGCGGGGAGGAAGGCGAUAAGGUUAAUAACCUUGUCGAUUGACGUUACCCGCAGAAGAAGCACCGGCCAACUCCGUGCCAGCAGCCGCGGUAAUAAGGAGGGUGCAAGCGUUAAUCGGAAUUACUGGGCGUAAAGCGCACGCAGGCGGUCUGUCAAGUCGGAUGUGAAAUCCCCGGGCUCAACCUGGGAACUGCAUUCGAAACUGGCAGGCUAGAGUCUUGUAGAGGGGGGUAGAAUUCCAGGUGUAGCGGUGAAAUGCGUAGAGAUCUGGAGGAAUACCGGUGGCGAAGGCGGCCCCCUGGACAAAGACUGACGCUCAGGUGCGAAAGCGUGGGGAGCAAACA
rnacentral:rRNA from 1 species